rnacentral:lncRNA from 1 species
UUAAUCGCCAUAUAUCUCCACCGCUCUUUCUCCACAAAAUCAGCAUCCAAGAACCGUGACACAAACGCCCACACCCUAUAAACAUCCUCAAAAUUUAUCAAAAACCCAAUUGUAGCUAUGACCACUGGUAUCCCAAGGUCAAACCUCUCUUUCUUUCGGGUCAACGGACUCUUUUGACCUUCGUUAUCGAGGCUUUUUACCUCUACCAUCCUCUCCCUUUCUUCAAUAUUUUUAUCCACAAAACUAACAUGUUUUAAAACCGCGUAACUUAGAGAAAUGUUGUGUCGAUCUGCCAACUUCUGUACAAGUGUCGGCUCGACCUUCUCACCUUUCCAAUCGAACACGUUGAAAGCCACCACCGGGCCACGCUCCACCCUCACUUUCGGCCCGUAAAUCCUAACCAAAGGGACCCCGUCUUCCGGAUGCGGGUGCUUUAGACUACCAAAUGCAUUCACUAGCCAGUUCACUAAGUACCUCACCCUACUACUUAUCAGUAUCAAACCCAACGAAUCCGCGUGAUCUAACCCUCGAAACUCGACAUCCGAGCUAACCCCGCUACUACUUGCUUCGUUUUUCGUUGACUUUUCUUUAAGGUCAACGGCUACGUCUCGUUUCCAAAUUUCGAAAAACGACGAUUCCUUCUUUUCUUCAUUAAUUUCUCCGAUCUCUUGUAUUUCGGAAAUUUCUUGUUUCGAUAAUGACAAUGACACUGACAAUGACGAGGAUGACGGAGAUGACGAGGAUGAUGAUAAGACCGUUUUCCCUCGGUCGAUACUCCUCGAUUCUUCGAGGAAUAACGGCCGGUUAGGCGCUUGAACGAUGUUAACCAAUCCUGUAACCGUAGACGAGUUCUUAACCACCGAUGAUCUCGACUUUUUGAUAAAAAGACACCCGAACCCCGACGGGUUUUCCCCGAAAACCUUGUAAAAAGAACAUAUUAAGAAAUCGGGCCGAAAAAGCGACAAACCCAAUGUCUCCAUAUCUUUAGCACCAAAUGCAUUUGCAUCAAGACACACAUGCCACCCAUUUUCUUGAGCCAAACUCAUCCAAACAUACGAGUAUUUCGACCCGGUAACCUUCGAUUGCAACGGGAACACGAAAAGUCCCCUUUUCUUCUUCUUCUUGCUCUUGUUGUUGCUCACAAUCGAUUUUCGUAACUUCUUGGACUGAAUUCUCAUAUUGGGCCACGAAAACACAGCCGAAUCAACCCGGCCCGAUCUUUUCCUACAGCUUUCCAUCAUGGUCUCGACCGCUUCGUUCUGGUGAUCAUACACGGUCAAAAGGUUUCGGUUCGUGUGAAAUGGGUAAGAAUCCGCCAACACUUUGAAUGCAGAUGUUUGGUUAGCUGUGAACACCAAAGAGUACUCAUCCGAUGAAAUGUUCAUGAAUCUAAAGAUCCUUUCCUUGAUCUUAGUUUCGAAUUCGGGCUCUUGACCGCCACGUGUUAUUUCUAAAUACAAAUUCGCGGAUUUGUAUAUAAUGUUAAAAAAAGUUGCAUUAGAAUGUAACUGUUGCGAGUAUGAAAAAAGCCCGUGACCGUUGUAGUCAAGACAAACAUGGUUCAUUAAAGUGAGCUGAUAAUAUUCCUGAUCCCGGAUUCGGUCAGCCCGGUCAGUUUCCGGGUAGUUCGGGUAAGCCCGUUUCAUGUUAUCAAACGAUUGGUCUAGAGUUGAAAGCGCGGUUGCUGCGAUGAAAUCGUACCUGGACUGACGACUUGUCGUAUACUGCUCCGAGUCCCCGGGCUGCCCGAGUAACUGAUUCGGGCAGCAACGACGAAAACAAGGUGAAGUCAUUUUUUUUUUUUGAGAAUGUUCUUGUUGAUGAAGUGGUUGUUGCCUUAUAAAUGGUCAUAAUUCAUAAACAUUAAACAGCUCAUGUUUUGUCUUAUUUAUUUCACAAUGUUACAUUGUAUUUAUCGUGUUAGUUGUUCACAUAAAUACAGCUAACUUUUAACUAUGUAUAUAUUUUAUUGAAGAUAAAAAACUACAAUGUAAGU